GACAGAGGAUGCAAGCGUUAUCCGGAAUGAUUGGGCGUAAAGCGUCUGUAGGUGGCUUUUUAAGUCUGCCGUCAAAUCCCAGGGCUUAACCCUGGACAGGCGGUGGAAACUACCAAGCUGGAGUACGGUAGGGGCAGAGGGAAUUUCCGGUGGAGCGGUGAAAUGCGUAGAGAUCGGAAAGAACACCGAUGGCGAAAGCGCUCUGCUGGACCUUAACUGACACUGAGGGACGAAAGCUAGGGGAGCGAAUGGG
rnacentral:rRNA from 1 species